CUUGAAUCACAGGAUGAUUGUCAAAUAAUUGCAGCUGAAUUGCAGACAAGUCAUGGAAAAUUGCAGAUAACUAAAUGGCAUGGCUCGGACAAUGCCAGCCAGUCCUGUUCUCCACUCGCAUCUGACGCUUACUGUGUUUCUGGAUUUUGAGGUUCUUUGACCAAGUGGGGUAGCAACACCUCAUUCCCAUUAUGAAAAAGGCUUUGCUCUAAGGAUCUGGAAAAGAAAGCUGAUGUUGAUGAAUAUGAAGUGGCAGAAAAUCUCAUCACAAUUCAAACAACAGCAGUUCAUAUAUCCCUAUUCUUCCAGGGUAAUAGAUUCCAGAAUAACUGAAGGAAAUCAGAUCUACUUCUAAACGUAAGGGUACAUACCCAAGUUGGCCUUAAUGAACAGCAGAGGAACUGCGGCAGGGCAGGAAAGACACUUUGGACCAGAAAACAGGAAAGAACAGAUGGAGGCAACUGAAGCAAGCUUCGCCAUCAUGCCUGCCAUUCCCACCAUCUCCUGGGACCCCAAGCCUUCAUCAUCCUAAUUCUGAGAGAUGCCCUGAUCAGACCAGAGCAGAAAGUGAGACCCAGAUAACAUCACCACCUCUACCAGCUCCAGAUGAAUCCCAACACCACAUGGAAUAAAAUGGGAUCGGAUUUUAACAACGAGAGUAACAGCUCUAAUCCAUCUCAACUAACUUCUCUUUUCCCCAAAAGAAUCGAUUAGUCUUCAGAGUAGAAGCAGCACAGAACAUGUAAACAUUUGCAGCAGAGAUGCUACUGCCGCUGCCAAAGUAUUAUCUACAAAAGAAAAGACCCCCACAACCCACUCACUCAGAAUAUACAAGAUGAGAUUUCAUAAUCAAUUCAAUUAAGAAAUGACUACUAAUGAUAUUUUUGCAAAUAAAUUACUAUACUAUAUUCCACAAAUGUGAGAUGAAAGAUGUUUUGUCAUGCUGUUUGAUUAUUGAAAACCCACAGAACGUAAGAAAAAUAUCCCAUGAUGGACAGAAAUACAAAUGGAAAAAAUACCAUUUUUGAAAGGUUUUCUCACAAAUCAUAAUGAAUUUGUACUAGGCAAAAUGAUGUCUGCUGUGUCAAAUCAGAAGGUUAAAAUCUGAAAUUAAACAGAUGCAUAUGGGAAUUAAAUUAGUCAGGAGCUUCAAAACAUUAUUUCUUUACAAGGAAAAUUUACAAAUGAGAAAGGACUUUGUGUUAUCGGAAAAAAACCCAGAUAUGAUAUUCCUUUCAUCAACCCUUCAUUUUAUACAGAAAAAGAUACUGCUGGAAGACAAAAUGUAUUAAUGAAUACCAGUUUAUCCAGACAAAUGUAGCCAUAUUUGUGUGCAACUUAAACUGAUCCCCGUGUCAUAUUCUGUAAAGACUCAAAUGUGUGUUGCUUCACUGGUUUAAUUCCCAUUGAUUGCAAUGGGUAGUACUCACAGACAUUAUUUAUGAUCUCUUAGAGUACUAUUAUUAUUAAUAGUAAUACUUUGCACUUACAUGGCACCUUUUGCCUGAGCAUUUCAAAGUGCUUUGCAACCAUUAACUAAUUAAGCCUUGCAAUGCCUUAUGAGGAAAGUAUAUUAUUUAUACCCAUCAGGUACAUCAGCUUCCAGUUCAGAAAUAUACAUGAAGAUGAGCUCUGCAUAGCUCAAAAGCUUGUCUCUUUCACCAACAGAAGUUGGUCCAAUAAAAGAUAUUACCUCA